rnacentral:lncRNA from 1 species
GGCGAGGAAGCAACCGCUGAGGCAGAGGAGAAGCAGCCAGAGGAGGACUUCCAGUGCAUCGUGUACUUCUGGCAGGGCCGUGAAGCCUCCAAUAUGGGCUGGCUCACCUUCACCUUCAGCCUGCAAAAGAAGUUCGAGAGCCUCUUCCCUGGGAAGCUGGAGGUGGUACGCAUGACGCAGCAGCAGGAGAACCCCAAGUUCCUGUCCCAUUUCAAGAGGAAGUUCAUCAUCCACCGGGGCAAGAGGAAGGCGGUCCAGGGCGCCCAACAGCCCAGCCUCUACCAGAUCCGCACCAACGGCAGCGCCCUCUGCACCCGGUGCCUGGCUGGGGGAGGACGCAGUGGCGAGCAAGCGUCAGGGAGCCAGGCCUGAAUCCUUGCUGAUGCCCCAUCCCUUCCACAGGUGCAUCCAGAUCAACACCGACUCCAGCCUCCUCAACUCCGAGUUCUGCUUCAUCCUCAAGGUGGGGUUGUGGGUGUGAGCCAGGACUCCGUGGACCAAGGGGUGGGGUGUU